rnacentral:rRNA from 1 species
AAUGAACGUUGGCGGCGUGGAUUAGGCAUGCAAGUCGGACGGGCCGCAAGGCCAGUGGCGCAAGGGUGAGUAAGGCGACGGUAACCAACCCCGCGGAUGGGCAUAGCCGGGGGAAACCCCGGGUAAUUCCCGGCGACGUGGCGUCCCGGCAUCGGGGUGCCACCAAAGAUUCAUCGCCGCGGGACGGGCCGUCGUGGUAUUAGGUAGUUGGCGGGGUGACGGCCCACCAAGCCUGCGAUGCCUACCGGGCGUGCGAGCGUGGCCCGGCACACUGGGACUGAGACACUG